rnacentral:rRNA from 1 species
AGAGUGCGUAAUAGCUCACUAGUCGAGAGGUCCUGCGCCGAAAAUUUCCGGGGCUAAAACACGAUACCGAAGCUUAGGAAUGUAGCAAUACAUUGGUAGAGGAGCAAUCUCAGAGUGCCGAAGCGCUACCGCAAGGAAGCGUGGAGUUCUGAGAAGAGAGAAUGCCGGAAUGAGUAGCGAGAAUGAUGUGAGAAUCAUCAUGGCCGAAUAUCCAAGGAUUCCAGGGUAAAGCUGAUCUGCCCUGGGUAAGUCGGGACCUAAGGCGAGGGAGAGAUCCGUAGUCGAUGGACAGCAGGUUCAUAUUCCUGCACCUGACAUGAUCAGAACUGUGGGGACACAGGAACAAAACCGGACCCGGGAGAGCAAAGACCGGGCGAAGCGAAGCUAGGAGUGCGGUAGGCAAAUCCGCCGCACAAUCCGAAAGCGUGACAGGGAGCGAAAUAUAAGUAGCGAAGCCGGUGGAGGGACUGUCGAGAAAAGCCGCUAUUGUAUCAUGUCAGCCCGUACCGCAAACCGACACAGGUGGAUGAGGAGAGAAUCCUAAGGCCGGCGGGAGAAGCAUUGUUAAGGAACUCGGCAAAAUGACCCCGUAACUUCGGGAGAAGGGGUGCUGCAGAGAUGCAGCCGCAGAGAAAAGGCUCAAGCAACUGUUUAGCAAAAACACAGGUCUAUGCGAAACCGUAAGGUGAGGUAUAUGGGCUGACGCCUGCCCGGUGCUGGAAGGUUAAGAGGAGAGGUUAGCGCAAGCGAAGCUUUGAAUUUAAGCCCCAGUAAACGGCGGCCGUAACUAUAACGGUCCUAAGGUAGCGAAAUUCCUUGUCGGGUAAGUUCCGACCCGCACGAAAGGCGUAAUGAUUUGAGCGCUGUCUCAACAAUGCACCCGGUGAAAUUGAAGUACCAGUGAAGAUGCUGGUGACCUGCGCCAGGACGGAAAGACCCCAUGGAGCUUUACUCCAGCUUGAUACCGGGAUUCGGUGUUACUCGUACAGGAUAGGUGGGAGGCUAAGAAGGAAGGACGCCAGUCUUUCCGGAGCCGCUGUUGGGAUACCACCCCUGUGGCACUGGAUUUCUAACCUACAUCCGUAAUCCGGAUGGGGGACAAUGUCAGGUGGGGAGUUUGACUGGGGCGGUCGCCUCCGAAAGUGUAUCGGAGGCGCUCAAAGGUUCCCUCAGAAUGGUUGGAAACCAUUCGAAGAGCGCAAAGGCAGAAGGGAGCUUGACUGCGACACCGACGGGUGGAGCAGGUACGAAAGUAGGACUUAGUGAUCCGGUGGUAUAAAGUGGGAUUGCCAUCGCUCAACGGAUAAAAGCUACCCUGGGGAUAACAGGCUUAUCACUCCCAAGAGUUCACAUCGACGGAGUGGUUUGGCACCUCGAUGUCGGCUCAUCGCAUCCUGGGGCUGAAGUCGGUCCCAAGGGUUGGGCUGUUCGCCCAUUAAAGCGGUACGCGAGCUGGGUUCAGAACGUCGUGAGACAGUUCGGUCCCUAUCCGGCGCGGGCGUAAGAUAUCUGAGAGGAGCUGUCCUUAGUACGAGAGGACCGGGAUGGACUGACCACUGGUGCACCGGUUGGGGAGCAACCCCAUGGCCGGGUAGCCAAGUCGGGACGGGAUAAACGCUGAAGGCAUCUAAGCGUGAAGCCCCCCUCAAGAUGGGAUAUCUCAUGCGAAAGCGGUAAGACCCCUUGA